GACGAACGCUGGCGGCGUGCCUAAUACAUGCAAGUAGGACGCAGUUGCGAACGGUUGAGUAACGCGUAGGUAACUGCCUAUUAGAGGGGGAUAACUAUUGGAAACGAUAGCUAAUACCGCAUACUAGUAGAUGGACCUGCGUUGUAUUGGGUAGUAGGUAGGGUAAUGGCCUACCUAGGCGACGAUACAUAGCCGACUUGGGAGGGUGGACGGCCACACUGGGACUGGUACACGGCCCAGACUCCUACGGGAGGCAGCAGUAGGGAAGCUUCGGCAAUGGGGGGAACCCUGACCGAGCAACGCCGCGUGAGGGAAGAAGGGUUUCGGGUCGUAAAGCUCUGUUGUUAAGGAAGCGGUACUUAACCAGAAAGGGACGGCUAACUACGUGCCAGCAGCCGCGGUAAUAC
rnacentral:rRNA from 1 species